rnacentral:rRNA from 1 species
CGGUAAGAGCGGCGGACGGGUGAGUAACGCGUGGGUAACCUACCCUGUACACACGGAUAACAUACCGAAAGGUAUGCUAAUACGGGAUAAUAUAUUUGAGAGGCAUCUCUUAAAUAUCAAAGGUGAGCCAGUACAGGAUGGACCCGCGUCUGAUUAGCUAGUUGGUAAGGUAACGGCUUACCAAGGCGACGAUCAGUAGCCGACCUGAGAGGGUGAUCGGCCACAUUGGAACUGAGACACGGUCCAAACUCCUACGGGAGGCAGCAGUGGGGAAUAUUGCACAAUGGGCGAAAGCCUGAUGCAGCAACGCCGCGUGAGUGAUGAAGGCCUUCGGGUCGUAAAACUCUGUCCUCAAGGAAGAUAAUGACGGUACUUGAGGAGGAAGCCCCGGCUAACUACGUGCCAGCAGCCGCGGUAAUACGUAGGGGGCUAGCGUUAUCCGGAUUUACUGGGCGUAAAGGGUGCGUAGGCGGUCUUUCAAGUCAGGAGCGAAAGGCUACGGCUCAACCGUAGUAAGCUCUUGAAACUGGGAGACUUGAGUGCAGGAGAGGAGAGUGGAAUUCCUAGUGUAGCGGUGAAAUGCGUAGAUAUUAGGAGGAACACCAGUUGCGAAGGCGGCUCUCUGGACUGUAACUGA